UAAAACUUUGCCAAAUCUGAAAUUCCCUCGUCCCCUUUAUUUUUAAUUUCCCUCCAACCCAUUUUCAUUAAAUAGUUAAUAAAAUAAAAAAAUCCCUUUCUCUCCAUCUUCGCAAACAAACCAACCCUCCACCCAAAACCUUUCUCGCGAAGGCCUCCAUUAUUCGUCCCACCCUCUGCCGAUUCGUUGUUCACCUCUGCUGGCAUUUGGUGUGCAGCUUGGACUUUAACCCUCUGCUUCGUCGUCCCAUCCUUUGUCGCAUGUUGAGAGGAUCAGGGAGAAGAGAGAUGGCUUGGUGUGCGAGUUGGACCUUUCACAUGUCGAUGUCUUACUUCAAGACUCCCUUGGUCGUCGACAUUGGUUAUGCUUUAGUGGUCGAAACCAAAUCUAAUAGUGAUUUUUCAAGGAAGACAAAAAACCCGGUGACUGAACGACGGGUAUCAGGACAUGAUCCCCAAUCAGCACAUGCAAAUGCUUUUAAGGAUAGAUCAUCUGUUUUGGAUAGAAAUAUUCCUUGGUCCGGUGAUCCUUUGAUGUAUCACAAAAGAUAAUUAGUUGCACUCAUAUGAGUCUUGUCAGGUUUGCCAUGUAUUGGUUGAGUUUAUGAACAACAAAUGUGAUGUCCGAUCUUGAAAUGGUUAAGUACAAAAGUUUUCCAAUUAAUCUUCGAUAAGUACUUGGAUCUUGAAGAAGAUCUUUGUCAGAAGCUUUUAACUUGAUUGUCGGAUCCAUAGGUACUGAUGCCGGUUUAGCACCAAGCAAACCAGCUUCUUCUAGCAAGCAUAGUGCAUAGUGUUUUUAUGACAAUAGGAUACCAGUUGAUGAACGAGCUAAUUCAAGACCAAGGAAGAAUUUGAGAGAUCCCAAGUCUUUAAGCAGAAACUUUUGAUUGAGCACAUUUCGUAAUCUUUGAAUAAGAUCAACGUUUGCUCCAGUGAUGAUAAUAUCAUCAACAUAGACAAGUAGAGCUAUAAAGUUGGUGCCUUGGCCUUUUACAAAAAGAGAAUAGUCAGCCUUGGACUGUUAAAAACCUAUUGAAAUGAGGAAUUGGGAGAAUUUGGUAAACCAUUGACGUGAGGCCUCUUUUAGUCCAUAUAUAGAUUUUUGAAGUUUGCCUACAAUUUUCUCCCCCUGAAUGGUGAGGUUCGGUUUAUAACCCAAUGGCAAGUCCAUGUAUACUUCUUCAAACAAGUCUCCAUGAAGAAAUGCAUUGUUCACAUCUAAUUGAAAUAGAUGCCAAUCUUUCAAUACUGCUAUAGUUAGCAGGGUUUGAAAGUCACCAUUGUCGCGACGUGAUCGCUACGUGGAGCGGCCGACCUCGAUCGUUUAUUUAAUUUUAAUAAAUAAAUAGUUUUGGAGUCGUCAUCAACCAUAUUAGGGUGUGAUUUGUCACCCAAAAAAGAAAAAAAA